rnacentral:piRNA from 1 species
UGAACAAAAGCAGCACGUUAGUAACCU